CAGUGGCAGUUUGAGGCUGGUUUAUACGGCUGGAGGAUUUUUAGGGAUGUUCUUAUGUGCUUUUCCAGUACUUGGUGGAGAACUAGCCUCCGAAUUAACGUUUCCAGAACCAGAAGGUGUUGUAUCAGGUGUAUUGAAUACAGUCAGUCAGAUCUUCGGUAUCAUAGUGACCCUAUGCAUGGUAGAGAUCCAAAACUCCUUCGGCG